GACGAACGCUGGCGGCGUGCUUAACACAUGCAAGUCGAACGGAAAGGCCCUGCUUUUGUGGGGUGCUCGAGUGGCGAACGGGUGAGUAACACGUGAGUAACCUGCCCUUGACUUUGGGAUAACUUCAGGAAACUGGGGCUAAUACCGGAUAGGAGCUCCUGCUGCAUGGUGGGGGUUGGAAAGUUUCGGCGGUUGGGGAUGGACUCGCGGCUUAUCAGCUUGUUGGUGGGGUAGUGGCUUACCAAGGCUUUGACGGGUAGCCGGCCUGAGAGGGUGACCGGCCACAAUGGGACUGAGAUACGGCCCAGACCCCUACGGGAGGCAGCAGGGGGGAAUAUUGCACAAUGGGCGGAAGCCUGAUGCAGCAACGCCGGGGGCGGGAUGACGGCCUUCGGGUUGUAAACCGCUUUCGCCUGUGACGGAGCGUGAGUGACGGUAAUUGGUAAAGAAGCACCGGCUAACUACGUG
rnacentral:rRNA from 1 species